AGGAAUCCUUUUCGGAGCACCUCGGCUUCACAGGCGGCAUCGUGCAGGGGCUGGAUCUGUACCGCGCCUCCGGCAAAUUCGAGCUGCUGGACCGCAUCCUGCCCAAGCUGCGCGCCACCAACCACAAGGUGCUGCUCUUCUGCCAGAUGACGUCGCUGAUGACCAUCAUGGAGGAUUAUUUCGCCUACCGCGGCUUCAAGUACCUGCGGCUGGACGGGACCACGAAGGCGGAGGAUCGCGGGAUGCUGCUGAAGACGUUCAACGAGCCGGGCUCCGAGUAUUUCAUCUUCCUGCUGAGCACCAGGGCGGGCGGGCUGGGCCUCAACCUGCA